UCAACCCUAAAUUAUUACUUAAAAGACAAGUUUUGUAUAUAUCUCAGGUAAGAUGGUACACUGUGACUUUCAAGUACAAGAAAAACAUUUUUUUUUUCAUUAUGUGCAGCUCUCAGACUCUUGAGAAUGUGUUGUGCCUAGAUUGGCAAACACAGAUCUACAUCAUGAAAUAUUUUGAUUCUCAUAGCCAUGGAUGAACUUCCCACUUUUUUUAUUUCCCUCAGCCUCUCAGAGCCUUUUGAGGUGAUUAUUACAUAGUAAUUUAUGCCCUUGCCCUCAGACCCUUAUGUAAUCUUUAUCCUCUCCAGGGAAAGGAUGAACCCUGGUAACUCUCACAACACCUAGCACCCAGGCUUUGCAUGUGGUAGGUCUCCAUGGAUGCUAUCCAAAUGAAAGCUUCCCACAGCUUCCAGAUGGUAGGGAAUAAGGACAUUGAACUUUUGCUAUUUUAAGGAUGAUAAAAUGUUACCCCCAACAUAAAAGGUUCUUCUGAAAGUGGAUUGUCAGUCACUGGAAUCCACUGAGUGUUCACAAUGUGGCAGGCUCCAUGCCAAGUCCUUACUUACUUGUUUCAAAUUUUUUACAACAGAUCUGAGGUUGUCCCAUCUUAUUAUGAAGAAACUACAAUUGGGGAGAUUAACAAAACCUUCUCAGAGCAGAUACUUAAACCCAGGUCUUCUGAUUCCAAGUAUAGUGCUGGUUCUACAGCACAAUGUCUUUCUUCUAAGAAACCGAUUGAGAAAGAAAAACAGAGAAAAGGAAGAGCCAUGAUGUUUCUUUGGUGGUACCUGAUGUACAUCAUGGGUUUGGAGAUGAAGACUAGCUGCCAUCACCUGAUCCCUGGACAAAGCUUUCCCAGUGAAGAUGGACACAAUACAUUUUCUGCAUACUGUGAAAAAAAAAGGGUCUGCCAACCCACUGAGUCACAAUGUUAUGUGACAGCAUCAUCUUUGUGGACUGAAAGAUUUCUAAAAGUCAUUUUCUAUUUAA